rnacentral:misc_RNA from 1 species
UAUGGUUCUGAAGUACUCUUAA